GUCAGAUCCUACCUAUAUCUAAAUUUUGAUAAUUUUUUCAUCAUGGAUUAUUUUUGCAUUCAUUUUGAUACUUGUUAAAUUUGUUAAAACAUUAUCUUGAUCACUGAUUGUUUUGGUGCCACAUUAAAUUUUGUGCGGGAAGGAAGACCACCCCCUAAAGCAAGCCUUGAACUGGGUAUUACAGAAAAUUCUGCUGGGGUGGGGGGCAUAAGAGGGAGAGAAAUUUUAAAACAAGCAUGAAAUAACAUCCAUAUAUUUAGUUCCAUUCACAUAUCUGAAUAUUGGACAUUUGUGCUUUUGUCUUCUCAGAAAGGAGAUUCACUGUGAAUGAGUGUGACUGAAGCCAGGGUGCAGGCGAGUAACCUGAACAAAGCAGCUCGGCAGGGCAGCCAUUUGAAACCUGCUUCAGGACUUGGACACCUCUGUCCUGGUCAUUCUCAUGUUGGUUUGUUUUUAUUGUCUUUUCCAUGACUGGAAAAUAAGUUUUGAAUUUGGGGAGCUUUAAGGGAAACAAAAUGGGAUAAGUAAAUUUCAGAUUAUGGAAAUUGCCCAUUACCAGUGGGAACAUGAGUUCCUAAAGGAAAAAAACAAUAGAACACAACCACUUUUCCUAUACCUGUACCACAUUUAUAUAUAUAUUUUACAAUAAAGUUCAACUCCUCUGAUAUAAGAAAAUUUUUAUAUUAAAGUAUAUGGGGAAGCCAUUCUGGUUUGAAUUUGAUUUGACCUGAAUUUCAUUUGAACCAAAGAAGUCUGAUUUACGGCCUGUCAAACAUACAUUGUACAUCUGCUUUAAUCAUUACCCUAAAGCAGAGUGCACUUUUUGAAGAUAAGAAUUAAUGCCUCCCUUCCUAUGAUGCCAGGGUCAUGUUGACCCGCUGUACCCAUGCUAAUCUGUAACAAAGAUCUCCUUGAAGGAAUGUACCCCUGUCGUGCUCGAUGUACAUCUCUUUGUUUUGAAACGGUAUAUAACUGUGCUGAAAAUCGCUCUUAGCCAGAGCGCUUUCUUCCCUUGUGAAGGCUGCGACUCCUAGGCUAUAGUCCUCAGUUUGGCUCAAAUAAAACUCUCUUCUUUUCUUUUACAAUAGAAUGAUUUUUAAUUAUUUGCGUCAAUACCUCCUAACACAGGUAUUCUUUAGGGAAGAUGUUGGCCCUCCCUAAAGGAAUACUUCUUUCUUCUAUGUAGUCAUGUUGGGACUCAGUCUGACUUGGAAGUAUUCAAAUUAAUGCACUAAGGAGCUGGGUUAUAAGAGAGCUCAAUUAUACUAUUUAAAAUAUUUAAAACCAAGCAUAACCUCUGAGCUAAAAUGAGUAAUUGUGUAAAUAUCUCACCACUGGCAGAAGGGAGUAACUCGUCCACAGAGCACACUAUCUGAAUAACUAAUGGCUAUGUAGUUACACUGAGACUGACGGCAGGAGCUAGCUUAAAGUCGAGUCCUCCUGCUGUUGUUUUUAAGCAUUUGGUAAAGCAAUGUAGGGAGUGGCAUCCCUAAAUUUGUCUAAAAAACAAAACAAAAAAAGAACAAUUAUGAAUAAAAUUCCAUUAACCUAAAAAGGGUGAAAACGAGAAUUCUAAUGUACAGUCAAAAUAUGCCUUGCACAUUGCACACAAAUUCAAUGUUAUGAAACUACUAACUGCUUAAGUGAAUAUUCUCUUGAGGAAUUUCUGAGAUCUGAGGAUUUUUUUUCCCUUUUGGUGGUACAAUUAUAACAGGUGGGUUUCGUGGAAUUUGUUUGGUGCUGGUGGGGUGGCUGUCAAUUCAGGGUAGAUUUGUACCUGUGUUAAUCUGAAGUACUUUUUCAUUUUCUAAGUAGUGAUAACUUAUUUGUAGGUCAUGGGAUCAAAAGGUGACUACUUGAGCUGAUAGAAAACCGUUUGGUUUAAGAAUAGGAAGGACAAGUGUUGGAGACAUGAGAGGGCUUUAGUCCUCAGAACUAUGUCACCCGUUGCCAUGGGUCACCCUGUCAUCAUAAUCUUGGAUGGACUCUAUAAUGCCAUGUUUGUUCUGGAGCCCAAAUGGAGUUGGGUUCCUCUGGUGCCACUGCAGCCCAGAACACCCAGGCCACCCAAGUGGGGUUAGUAGUGUAUGGAUAGGAACUGCUAAGGAAUGGCAAGGAAGCCUCCUUUCAUAAGGUGACAUCCUUGAGUCACUAUCAACAGGCCCUGUACUUCUCAGACACACACAUGUGCAAGACAGGGUAGGGUAAGUCCCUAGUGAGAAAACAGCGUGUUACAAGACGGGGCAGAGCUCCAUUCACGCUAAGGAGCUCAGGCACAAACCUACACUCUAAAGGAGUCUGCCUAAGAAGCUACUCAUAGGGCUUUACAAGAAGGUGGCACCCAGACAUUCAUCUAGUAUGCUCCAAAUUCUGUUCACUGCCCUCCUUUUGUGGAGGACAUAGGGGAACAGAAACCAUUCUGGCCUAAAGGUCCUGCUGCUUCCAAGGAGACGCCAUCAAGGCCACAGUGAGGCUCCUCUCCCUUUUCUCCCCUCCUCCCAUCACAGGAGCUGUUAUUGUGCCUUCCCUGGCCCAGAAGUGAUGAUCACACCUUCAAAUGCAUUUUGUCUCAUUCAACAUCCUUGAGAGGACCCUGGUUCCUGAUGAUUAAACACUAGGCGGGAACCUUUUGGUUUAGUGCUGCUGGAAGCAAGAGGAUGGAGAUGGUCCCCUGAUUAAUAUUCUAGAUUAAUGGAUCACUGAAAAGAAGCAGUCAGACCUUGGCUUUCUUCAUGCUGUCUUCCUCAUGUGAAACUGCCAGGCUAGAAAACAACAAAAUUAAAAAUGGACUGUUGGGGGCCAGCCCCGUGGUGUAGUGGUUAAGUUUUGGCACGCUCUGCUUCAGUGGCAUGGGAUCGCAGGUUCGGAUCCCCAGUGUGGAUCAUCUCUGGCUCACUCGUCAGCCAUGCUGUGUGCAACCCACACGGAAAAUGGAGGAAGAUUGGCAUAGAUGUCAGCUCAGGGCUAAUGUUCCUUAGCAAAAAAAAAAAAAAGAAAAAGAAAAAGAAAAAAAAAAGACUGUGAUAAGAAUUGAGGAAUUACCAUUAAAUUUCUUAGGCAUUAUAAUGGUAUUGUGGUUGUUUUUUGUAAAAAAAGAAUGUCUAUCUUUUAGAGAAACAUGCUGAAUUAUUUAUGAAUGAGAUGAUAUCUGGGAUUUGUUUCAAAAUAAUUGGGGGCGGUGGCAACUUUGCACAAGUUGAUAAUUGUUCAAGCUGGGUCAUGAGUACAUGGGAGAUCAUUAUUCUAUUCUCUGUACUUUUAUAUAUAUUUGACCUUUCCCAUAAUAAAAUUAAAGAAAAAAAUGUACCUCUAAAACCUUAAUACCUUGAGCAGAUAAACAUGCUUUUGCUGCUGUCUCAUUUGUUGUUAAAGAGAAAUUAAUUCGUUCAACAUUUAUGUCAGGAACUAUGCCAGGCACUGAAAGCACAGAAAUUAAAGUCACACCAGGUAUUAGAUGAUAUAAGGAAUUAUUACUAAUUUAUUGGGCGAGAUAAUGGUAUUAUGGUUAAGUAGGAAAAUGUUCUUACUUUUUAGAGCUGCAUACAGAAAUCUUUAGGGUGGCAGUGUGAUAUUUAUAAUUUACUUUGAAUUUCUCAGCAAAAAAUCCAUAUUUGAAACAAAUAUGGCAUCAUACUAACAACUUAAACUCUAGUUGGUAUGUAUGUAGUAUUAUACUAUUCCCUUUACUUUCCUGAAUGUUUGAACCUUUUCAUGAUGAAAAGAUAAAAAACUCUGUGUAUGUGUUCAGGGAGGAUGCUCUCCAGGAGCUCAGGCUAAUGGAGGAGACAGAAGUGGACAGAGAAUUAGAAUCUGCAGUGAGAGAGGGAAGCGCGGGGUGCUCCGGGUAUACAGAGGAGUCUCAAAAUCAGGCCGAUUUGGGGAGGGUGGUUGAGGAGUGGUGGACCAGGAAAAGGUGACUCAAGCUAGUUUUCUUUGAAGUAGUUUUACUACGAAAGUAACACGUGCCCGCCGCUGAAUGAGUAAGCCGAGCCGCGCGCAGGGAGAGACGACACUGCAGGCAGACGGGCUCUCGGCACCAAGUAAGAGUCAAGAGAAGGAAGAUGGCAGACUGAGGAAACAGAAGCCGUUCUCAGGCUACAGAGGACGCUGUGAGAGGGAAGCACAGGGUACAUGUGAUUAGAGGGGGAUCAGUCAGGUCUGACCUUUACCCUGAGGCUGCUGAAGGAUUUUAAGUAGGGGCUGACACGCUCAGGUGUGUGCUUUAAGAAAGUUCAGUCUUCCAGCAAUAAGGAAGAAAAGUGACCACGGGGGCCAGGAAACCCAGGUGACAUCAGAGGAAGGGGCCCGUUUGUGUGAUGUGUCCCCAGAGGAGGUACCCUGUCAGUCAUCACCCAGGAGAAGGCACAAAGAGGUGGCUUUUGUGAUGCGCCAGCCCACAGGCCGUGUCUUCCAUAAAUGAGCUGCCAGCCUGAAGGGGGUCCUUUAGGGUGUGCCUUUUUGAAAAUUGCACAAAGGUGCCCAGGGAGUGUGAGAAUUACACAAAAGAGCCCUUCUACGGGGCUGAUGCAGGCUUGUAUGACUCGGUUUGGCACCACGCGUCUUGCAGACCAACCCCAACUUAGUUUGGUGCCACAGGCCUUGUACAACUACACACAACCAAUCUGGAGUGACCCUGCUUAGACUGAAUCCCACCAGUGUGACCUGGAGUGUGGUACUUAUAACCUGCUCUGCGCCUCCAUUUCCCCGUCUCUAAGAUGGAGCCUACAGUUACUGUGUGCGUUAAAUAGAGAACGAGUAUCAGCCCUCAGCGGGGUGCCUGGCACGAAGUCAGUGACUGUUUAAAAACGCUUGGCUAUUACUAUUGUUUUUAAGAACCUUCUUCUAAGAUAAGCUUUAAGAAGUACAACUAGUUUUGAAGCAAGGCUUGCAGAAGGAUGGUUUUCUUACCGCUGGAGUCUGUUUCAGAAUCAGAGUCACUGUCACUAUCUUCAGAAUACUCCUUGUGUUUUCUUUUAGGUGAUUUUUUCUUUCUCCUUUGCUUAGACCUUUCUUUUGAAAGACUGGACUUUUUCCUUUCUUCUACAUAAAAUACAAAUAAAAAACAAAUUUCUAAAGGAGUAUUUCUGAGUAUCAAUGAUGGGCAAAUUGAGUCAAAGCAAAGUUUAAUGUUCAACUAUUUAUAAACUUAUUUUUUAACUUCCCAAUAUAAAAACCACUGUAUUUUAAAAAUACUCUCUGAAGUAAAAGCUGAAGUGGUGCUUUUCUUUGUUUCUUCAUCCUCUACUGGUGUAUGUUCAAUCAGAGCCAAAUUUAAAGAAAAUGGUUGUAAGAAUCAGAAAAGUGAUGACAUAUGGACCCUAGAGUAUAAAAAUAUGGAAUUAAAAUUUUUCAGUAGCAAAUUGAUUGUCCAAGGACCAUUAAAAGCGAUACUGGAGCGCUUCUGUAAGAGUCCAGUUCAAGAUUCUGCCCCCUUCGUGAUAACAGAAUCAUUUACUCUUGCAUAAGGCUUUACAGUUUACAAAGUGCCAUUCAAACUGGCAGCGGCAUGGAGGAUUUAUAUGUUCCGAAGAGACCAAAGGACAAAAGUAAGCAAAGAGGAACCAGAAGGAGAGAUGAAAGAAACUGGAGACAAGAAGGCUGAGGGCAGACUUCAGUCACAAUUUUACUCCACGUGUGUAACGGACAUACAGUAGGGCAGCAAGUGUUCCGUUUCCCCAGAGCAGAAAGAACUUAACACUCUGCAGUAUAAAGAGACCUCACUCUGUUGUAGAGAAUCCUGAAAAUGAGUAUUAUUAAAAUUCUCUAAUCGUUUAGAAAGGGAAUUCCUCUGUCAUAGAAUCUUUUCCUCUGAAGAGCACAGCUAGAAUAAUUUAGGUGUUGCCUAGAAAAUUAUUUUUAGGGUGCCUUCCAACUCUAAUUCUUUGAGUUCAGAUUCUUUGAGUUCAGUAUCUGUAAGAACAAGUUUCUGAAAAUAAUGCAUAACCCUAUCACAAAUUACAAGUCUACCUAUCAAGCAUAUUAUCUCAACUCAAGCUAAAGUAGACAGAAAUAGAGGAGCAGCUUAUGAAUAGCAGCAAAGAAAAAAGAAACAAGGAAAAAGAAGCAUUAAGCCUUCAAAUAGUAUUAGAUGUAGAAAAAUUAACUAAACAAAACCAUACUGGCAUAUUCAUCUUAAAAAUCCCUUUAUAAUGCUAAACUCUGGAAUGCAAUCUGCUAUUGGGUUAGUGGAGAAAAAAAUUCAAAAUAAUAUAAAUGUAUUAUUUGUUUUAACACUGAACCCUUCUAUGAAUAAGAAAUUAGCGCUCCGUGACUUUAAAGAGAACAAAUAGCAUGCUAAAAUCCACUGGCAACAUGUUUUAAUUCUUAGGUAUGUUCUAUGUUUUAAAACUUAAGGGAUAUAAAAGGAUAAAUCACAAGAAGGUAAAAUGUGAGAUGUACUUAAAUGUUCUUCACCCAUUAAAAUUUUUGACAACAGACUCUGGAUUUAACAAAUGUUCUAUUUUUAAAGUCUAUUUUUUAACAACUUACUCUGGUUCAGGACCAUAUUAGUCAGCUAGGCUACCCUAACAAAAUACCACAGACUCAGUGGCUUAAACAACAGAAAUUUACUUUCUCACCGUUCUGGAGGUCAAAAGUCCAAGAUCAAGGUGCCAUCAGGGUUGGUUUCUGGUCAGACCUCUCUUCCUGGCUUGUAGCCUGCAGCCUUUUGCUGUGUCCUCAUGUGGCCUUUCCUCUGUGCUCAGGUGGAAAGGGAGGAGGGGAGAGGCAGAGACAGAGACAGAUAGAGAGUGAGAGAGUUCUGGUGUCUCUUCCCCUUCGUAUAUAAGGACACCAGUUUUGUUUGAUUAGAGCCCCACCCUUAUGACCUCAUUUAACCUUAAUUACCUCCUUAAAGGCCCUAUUGCCAAAUACAGUCACUUUGAGGGUUAGGGCUUCAACAAAUGAAUAUUUUUUUCCAACAAAUGAAUUUUGGAGGGACACAAUUCAGUCUAUAACAAGGAUUCUUUGGAGAAAGUCCUCAUUCUUAAGGAUUUCCCAAUUCUCUAGUCCUCUCGCGCUCCGCUUCAGUGGCCCAGGGUUUCGCCGGUUCGGAUCCUGGGUGUGGACAUGGCACCGCUCAUCAGGCACACUGAAGCAGCGUCCCACAUGCCACCACUAGAAGGACCCACAACUAAAAAAAAUAUGCCACUAUGUACUGGGGGGAUUGGGGGAGAAAAAGCAGAAAAAGAUUGGGAACAGUUGUUAGCUCAGGUGCCAAUCUUUAAAAAAAAAAAAAAAAAAAAGGUACAGAUUACAGACAGCCUGAGCAUCCAGGCUAGAAACGCAGCCCGGGAGGCUGGCCAGUGCAUCCCUUCUGCCGCACGCAGGACAAAGCUCCUAACUGCUCAUUUCACCUGCAGUAUGUGACAGAAACAGUUUCACGUGUGGAAAUCACUUCAUUUGUUUACACAUUUUUAUGAAAGGAAAAAGAAGUCUGUUUCAAUUUGGUUAAAACUUUAGUUUUCAGAAAUCCGGGAAUUAGUAAAGACAAUUUAAGAAAAUGAAGGACUAAAAGAAGCAGAAAAUAAAGGGAGCUCUGAAAAGUUCUAUGUGACAAAAGUUGUAUUCAGUGAGAUUCAGGGUGUCUUCCCUUUAGCCCCUUUUUGGAAAAGGAGCACAUUGUCCAUCUGCUCUGUGGAGGACAGUGAAAAUUUUUUUGUUUUAUUAUAAUGUUUGUCAUUUCUUCUAAUUUUUGCUGUUACUCAUAAACUGAAAAAACAAAACUAAACAACAACUAACAGAGGCUCAAUUCCCCCAAAGUUUAGCUGCUUAUAUCUCUAUUUGGUUUUUAAAAAAAUCCUUACAAAAGAAAUAUAUUUGGUUACAUUAUUUGCAUAAAUUACUUUUUACUUUUUUAUUCAGGGGAAAUGGUAUUAUAACUAUGCAGAGUUGGACUCAGAGGGUCUCCCACUUCAAGAAACCGACAAACUAAAAGUAAACAUACAAACAACAGUUCUUGGAAUAUAUUAGUAUAGGGGCCAACGAUGGCUGCCACACUGUAAAGACACACAGUCCUUGUAGUGUAAGGCCUAAAAUUAAGGCCCAAUACUGUUACCAAACCAGGUUUGUUUUUGCCCAUCGCCUGGAAAGCCAAACACCAAAAUUGCAGCAGAGAGGGUUUUAAUCACAAGGCAGCCAAUUGAGGAAGCGGAAAAACAAGUCUCAAGUCCGCCUCCUCAAAAAUGGGGCCUUAUGGGGUAGGGGGCAAAGUGGUCUGAAAUGUGGAGAUAGAUGUUUGGAGGUGACAAGAGGUGAGGUAGUUGAUGAUGUGUGCAAGCAUAGUCAGACUUCAUGCCUCUCCACAGGACGCAUGCUCACAAAACGGUGGCGGUAGCAUGAUCUGAGGGUGGAGUUUUUAGCCUCUUGACAUCCAAUGGUCACUUAUUGGGCAUCUGUGAGGGCCCAGUUGAUGGGUUGGUGGUCUCAACCAGCCUGAACUGGACAAGGGGGUCCUAAUUCCUGAAAAACAGCUCAGACACCCAUUACCAUGGUGACCCAGGCUCCAGGGAGACGUUAUCUAUA
ensembl:lncRNA